GACUAUUGGGCCGAGUAGGAGUACUCGGGCCAUGUCUAUACGUAUCCGAACCCAUAGGGUCACACACUUAAAAGUUAUUCCGACAGGCGAAGAAGGCCCCUACAGUUUGAUAUUGGUGACCAUGUGUAUCUUCGAGUCUCCCCGACCAAAGGAGUGCAACGGUUUGGAGUGAAAGGCAAGUUGGCUCCCCGCUACAUUGGCCCUUAUGAGAUUGUGGAGAUCUGUGGACCCGUGGCUUACCGGAUCCAACUCCCGGAACAGCUAUCGGCCAUACACGAUGUCUUCCACGUGUCUCAACUGAAGAAAUGUGUCCAAGUUCCAACCGAGAUCUUAGAGCAAGAGCAACUUCAGAUCAAGCCCGACCUAACCUACGCCGAGUACCCAAACAGAGUUCUUGACCAGAAAGACUGGCAUACCCGGCGCCAAAUGGUCAGAAUGUACAAGAUCCUCUGGAGGAACCACACGGAGGAUGAAGCAACAUGGGAAACAGACGAGUAUCUAAACAAGCACUUCCCAGGUUUUUUGUCUCGUCAAGGAGGUAAGAACGGCACACCCUACUUUUAUACCUGAAUCUCGGGACGAGAUUCUUUUUAAGAGGGGUAGGCUGUGACGACCGACCCCAAAUCUUCCAAGUUAAUCCUAAUCCAAGCCCUGAUCACCUGUCUUAGCUUUCCAAGCCUAAGCGAUCAACCUCCAGACCGGUCCCGACCCCUAAAACCCAACCCCUCUCCGCUGGUCUCCAGUUCUGACCCC
rnacentral:lncRNA from 1 species